CCUGUCUCUUCUUCCCGAGUUCUGGAAUUAAAGGUGUGUGCCACCACCAUCAUCUGGCUAAGGUGACCCCUUUAAGGUAGAGGAGCAGCGGCUCUCUCUUGGGUCGAGGAGAGCAUCGGAAGGGCAGAGACUGCAUCUUCUGGAGCAGGAAGGCUGCAGUGGUUAUUUACUCUCAUCUGUGUACAUUGCUCCCCAAUAAAACACCUAUUUAUCUUUUA